rnacentral:rRNA from 1 species
AGAGUUUGAUCCUGGCUCAGAGUGAACGCUGGCGGUAGGCCUAACACAUGCAAGUCGAACGGCAGCACAGGGGAGCUUGCUCCUUGGGUGGCGAGUGGCGGACGGGUGAGGAAUACAUCGGAAUCUACUUUUUCGUGGGGGAUAACGUAGGGAAACUUACGCUAAUACCGCAUACGACCUACGGGUGAAAGCAGGGGACCUUCGGGCCUUGCGCGAUUGAAUGAGCCGAUGUCGGAUUAGCUAGUUGGCGGGGUAAAGGCCCACCAAGGCGACGAUCCGUAGCUGGUCUGAGAGGAUGAUCAGCCACACUGGAACUGAGACACGGUCCAGACUCCUACGGGAGGCAGCAGUGGGGAAUAUUGGACAAUGGGCGCAAGCCUGAUCCAGCCAUACCGCGUGGGUGAAGAAGGCCUUCGGGUUGUAAAGCCCUUUUGUUGGGAAAGAAAUCCAGCCGGCUAAUAUCUGGUUGGGAUGACGUA